rnacentral:lncRNA from 1 species
GUGCACAAUUGUGUCCGAGCUCUCCAACAAGGAUUUUGACUCCUAUGUCCUCUCUGAGUCAAGCUUGUUUAUCUAUCCUCUGAAGAUUGUCAUCAAGACCUGUGGCACUACCAAGCUCCUGCUCACCAUUCCAAGGAUACUUGAGCUUGCUGAAGAGCUGUCUAUGCCACUUGCUGCUGUGAAGUACUCCCGUGGGACGUUCAUCUUUCCCGGUGCACAGCCAGCUCCUCACAGGAGCUUCUCUGAGGAAGUUGCUGCGCUUAACCGCUACUUUGGUGGCCUGAAAUCUGGUGGUAAUGCUUAUGUGAUUGGAGAUCCAGCAAGACCUGGACAGAAGUGGCACAUCUACUACGCCACCGAGUACCCAGAGCAACCAGUGGUUAACCUUGAGAUGUGCAUGACUGGUCUGGACAAGAAGAAAGCUUCAGUCUUUUUCAAGAC